ACACAAGGAAGAGGCCCAGUUUCUGCUCCUGUGCUGGAUGCUACAAGCCCAGAACGCUGCAGGACCCCAUCCCUGUGCCUCUCCAAGGAGCUGGGAUUCACUGCUUCUCCUGGUACAGCCAAUACCUCUCUCCCACACAGCACAUCAACAGCUCUCAGUUUGAAAUGGCUUGGCAGACUCCUCAGAACAGUGACUCAUCAAAAGCUCUCUGUUCACACAUCAUUCCUUCUCAUUCUUGUUGGAUUCCCUUGAUGGAUUCUCACCCAAAAUAAGAGAGGUUUUCUUGUUGUUUCUACUGGCCCUGCUGGCAUUUGGGUAGCACAGACCCACUGCUACACAGAAUGCUUUACAGGAGCAGACAGGAUCUCUGCCAGAAGGAUUUCCAGUGUGUACAUUCACUUUGUUAAAUGGGCACAGAGCUUUCCAGCUUGUCUGCUGGUAGACAACCUGAAGUGUCCUCCAACAUUGUUCUGCACUUCCUCUUAGGAGUCAUUAUUUGUUUUCCUUAAAGUAAAUCAGCCAAACUUACCUGGUCUCUCCAAAUCUAAAAAUCAAAUUAAAUGUGCCAUGUGAGUAAUUGUAUUUGUAAUUGUACACUGUUUAAAAUACACAUUUUGGCUCAGAUUUCACAAGGAUUUCUUAGUCUUCCUUAUGGAUUUCUGCACAUUCAGAAAUCUUAUUUUCAAACUAUUUCUUGCAA